rfam:Chaetura pelagica isolate M959 contig3088, whole genome shotgun sequence.
ACUCAGGCUCUUCCAAGAGCCACCCAGAUUUACAGUCGUGGGAUCU